rnacentral:rRNA from 1 species
GCACAAGCGGUGGAGUAUGUUGGUUUAAUUCGACGACAACGCGCAGAACCUUACCUGGUCUUGACAUCCCGAGAAUUUUCUGGAAACAGAGAAGUGCCUCGCAAGAGGAAUUCGGAGACAGGUGCUGCAUGGCUGUCGUCAGCUCGUGUUGUGAGAUGUUGGGUUAAGUCCCGCAACGAGCGCAACCCUUGUCUUUAGUUGCCAUCAUUAAGUUGGGCACUCUAAAGAGACUGCCGGUGUCAAACCGGAGGAAGGUGGGGAUGACGUCAAGUCCUCAUGGCCUUUAUGACCAGGGCUACACACGUACUACAAUGGCAGGUACAAAGGGCAGCCACUUAGCGAUAAGGCGCGAAUCCCGUAAAACCUGUCUCAGUCCGGAUUGGAGUCUGCAACUCGACUCCAUGAAGUUGGAAUCGCUAGUAAUCGCAGAUCAGCACGCUGCGGUGAAUACGUUCCCGGGCCUU